rnacentral:rRNA from 1 species
AAUGAACGUUGGCGGCGUGGAUUAGGCAUGCAAGUCGCGCGACAAGGAACCUUCGGGUUCUGGAGGAGCGGCAAACGGGGUAGUAAGGCAUCGGAACGUACCCUCUUGUUGGGAAUAGCCGCGGGAAACUGCGAGUAAUGCCCAAUAAUCCCUACGGGGCAAAGGUCCGCCGCAGGAGGAGCGGCCGAUGUGAUACCAGCUAGUUGGUGAGGUAAUGGCUCACCAAGGCUUAGACGUCUAGGGGGUGUGAGAGCAUGGCCCCCACCACUGGGACUGAGAUACUGCCCAGACACCUACGGGUGGCUGCAGUCGAGAAUCUUCGGCAAUGGGCGCAAGCCUGACCGAGCAACGCCGCGUGCGGGAUGAAGGCCCUUGGGUUG